AAUGAGGGAAACCUUGAUGUAGCCAUGCCGCGUGUGUGAAGAAGGCCCGAGGGUUGUAAAGCACUUUCAAUUGUGAGGAAAGGUUAGUCGCUAAUAUCGGCUAGCUGUGACGUUAACUUUAGAAGAAGCACCGGCUAACUCUGUGCCAGCAGCCGCGGUAAUACAGAGGGUGCAAGCGUUAUUCGGAAUUACUGGGCGUAAAGCGCGCGUAGGCGGACUGUUAAGUCGGUUGUGAAAGCCCUGGGCUCAACCUAGGAACUGCAUCCGAUACUGGCAAUCUAGAGUUUAGGAGAGGGAAGUGGAAUUCCUGGUGUAGCAGUGAAAUGCGUAGAUAUCAGGAGGAACAUCAGUGGCGAAGGCGACUUCCUGGCCUAAAACUGACGCUGAGGUGCGAAAGCGUGGGUAGCGAACGGGAUU
rnacentral:rRNA from 1 species